UCUAUCUUGUUAAAUAAACACCAACUAAAGCGUGACAGCAAUUUUUUUUUUUAACAUUGUUAUUUCUAACCAGCACCGAUACUAACGGUACCUCCACCCCGGUCUGUAAAUUUACAGCGGUUUCCCCCUGAGGUGCUGUGAAGCAAAGGGCAAUACAGCCAGCAUAGAUCAGGUCUAGACAUCCCCUCCUGUUGUUCUCUAAACAUUUGUGGUACAAUAGGUCCAUUUUUGCAUACAGGAUGGCGCCCCGAAAAACAGUCAAACAAACCCCUGGGCUGUAAAGUCAUUACAUACUAUCUCCCGGUCACGACAGAGGUCCUGAUGAAACAGACCGUAUUCUACCCAUCUGUACGACCGGCUUUAACGUAACUACAAACCCUGGACAACAGCCCAAAAGAGCGGAAGACCGAACAGCUAAAAGAUAAUCUGUGAAUCAUUCCUCGUGGAGCUUUUUGAAGGUGAGUUAGUGAAAAUAAUAUAUUAGAUUUGGAUGCGUUAGGUAUUUUUUCUGGCAAUUACAAUUUGAUAUUGUUCUAACAUUAAACAGACAUAUGUGUUUUUUACAGAUAUUCAAAAACGGGUGGACAACGAUUUUUUUAGGGAUGUAUUUAGGCCAAAAUGCAUGUAUUUUUACAAGUUAAAGUGUAUAUAUUUCGUAUAAAUACAUGUUAAUAUUAUCUAAAGUCUAGGUUAUACAACAUUGAGCCAACUGCUCCCGGGGAUAAAUGCCUUGGAUCAUCCAACAUCAGCUGUUAUAACUAUCCCUGAUGAGGCUUCAGAAGAACAACUGGAGGACACCGAAUUUUAGGAGAUAUCUAUAUGUCAACUGUAUGUAUUUUUUAUGAUAAAAUGUCUAACCAACACCAAAGGCCCUACACCACGAGAGGACAUGGUCGAGAAGGCAGGGGUACCCCGGAACAUAACGGGUACCCCGGAACAUAACGAGUAAAACAUUGAAGUCGGAUAAUUUCCCAGCUUUAAAUGACAUUUCGGAGGUCGCUGAUUUGCGGUUGUUUGAAAUGGACAGACAGACAACAUGAUAAGGACAACUCCGAGAUAUAACAAUAUUCAGUCAAGAUAUUCUAAAACUGGAGGACAACGAUUUUUACGAUAUAUCGCUGUCAAUUGUACGUAUUUUUUAUGAUAAAAUGUGUAGAUGUUUUGUAUAAAUAUAGUUGAAUAUUAUUGUAGAAAAGCCCAAGGACGUUGGUGGAAACGUCCUUUAAUUCGAGGCCUCAUACUCAGCGGUGCCAGGGAAUGCCUUAAUUAGGUCGGGUGGAAAUGUAUGACAGAUCUCAUCCCAUAAAAUGAGUAAAUAGCCAUAGCCCGAUCUCGCUGAUUUCUCUUCCAUCUAAUCCAGAAGUUCGGUGCGACCAUGAAUCCGUGUUAGUCAUCCGAAUUUGGUUAACUUUCAUUGGAACUUUCUGUUGCCAUCGGUUAUUGAUUUAUAGUUAUUACCGCGGAGAGCGGCUUGGCGCGCAUGCUUCAAAUCUAACGUGUAAUGUGAUUUGGUCAAUGAUCAAGAUCCUACGGAUUAUCACAGGCCAAUUAUGCCAAAAUUAUAUGGUUAAUAUGUCAUGAAAUUACAUGGACACAUGAAGACACUUGAAAGGGUGAUAUAUGAAACGGCAAUGUUUGCGGAACUGAUCGAUUCCGACAUCAAACUAAUGGGUAUUAAUAACCGAUUACUGUAUGUAUUAUACCUCUCAUGAUUAUGAUAAAUAGUUACGAGCAUAAAUGACUCAAGGACGAUACCUAUUGACUUCUUAAUGAACCGGCAUGUGGAAUUUCCUAAGUAUGUUAAUGAUUGUCAUGAUUUGAUCUUUGUGAUUAUGAAUUUGAUAGGAUACAUGUUACGAAUUUGAUCAUUUCACCUGUUAUUCUGUUUAAUUUGUUAGGUCGCACAGACUACUCAGUAAAUAUACCACUUUAUGGUUAAAGGAAUUCUGGCCACAGUCUCAUCCAUUGCUCUCUCACCAGACAUGUUACCACCUGUUCACCUUCAAUGGCGGACAUCCUACAUGUUCAGCUACCCACACAGAUUCCACUAAUCUUUCAAUUAUUUUAAACGGCUACAGGAUUCCACCGGGACCCAGCAUGUUAUCCCCACAAACUGCGGUCCCAGCUUCCGGCAGGGCAGGCCGGAGGGGCAGGUUUCAGGUCGAGCCAGACCGGUCGCACCGGGGCCUCGCUGGCUUUCUGGCGCAGCACUGCCCGCUGGAGGUGAACAUGGGUGGUGUCCCAUGUCUCCUCCGCGCGCCUGAACCAGUCGUCCACUGCAGGAGCCUCAGUCUGACUGACGCCACGGCGCCAGAAACGGCUGAUACCCCAGUACGCACUGGAAGGGGGAGAGUUCUUGACCAGGUUUGCACACACUGCAGCAGGGAUUUUGGCCCACUCCUCCAUACAGACCUUCUCCAGAUCCUUCAGAUUUCGGGGCUGUCGCUGGGCAAUACGGACUUUCAGCUCCCUCCAAAGAGUUUUUAUUGGGUUCAGGUCUGGAGACUGGCUAGGCCACUCCAGGACCUUGAGAUGCUUCAACACCCUGCAUUAUCACAUUCAUGCAUGCAAAAUGUUCACUUACACUACUGAUUACACACACCAAUGUAUAUUGUAAGUUUACUUUAUUUAAUAAAUAUAUGUUUUGUUACUCCUUAUCUCCACGUUGUCUCCCUUUUGUUACGGGCUUUGAGCCGGCUCGUGACAAAUGGCGGCUCAUCUGGGAUAUUUGAACGUAUUGGUUUGGGAGAACGUGGAGGUACGUGUUUGGUUUGCAUAUUUUGUUUGAGUUUGAUAGGCCCAGUAUUGGUUGCCUUUGUUGUUUGGUUUGUGUGCUGAGUUGGAGUAUAAUGGUUAGUUUUCAGCCAGGAAUCUCUUGUUCUACUUUCUGUUGGGACAUCAGUCUGAGGAGGUGAGUAAUCUGUGUACCUCAGUGGGAGAUUUGGAUAGGGUAGUGGAACUUGCUACCCGGAGCUAGAGCCUUUUUCCCCUGAUAGUGUUAGCGACGUGUUUCCUUUUUGGAAUAUGUUGGGCAUGGUUAAUGUUUGUUAUUUUUGUAUGGUGUCUGUGGCCAGAGCAGUUGUCUCAAAUCAAAUCUAUUCAAAUUUUAUUUGUCACAUACACAUGGUUAGCAGAUGUUAAUGCGAGUGUAGCGAAAUGCUUGAGCUUCUAGUUCUGACAAUGCAGUAAUAACCAACAAGUAAUCUAACUAACAAUUCCAAAACUACUGUCUUAUACACACAAGUGUAAGGGGAUAAAGAAUAUGUACAUAAAGAUAUAUGAAUGAGUGAUGGUACAGAGCAGCAUAGGCAAGAUACAGUAGAUGGUAUCGAGUACAGUAUAUACAUAUGAGAUGAGUAUGUAAACAAAGUGGCAUAGUUAAAGUGGCUAGUGAUACAUGUAUUACAUAAAGAUGCAGUAGAUGAUAUAGAGUACAGUAUAUACGUAUACAUAUGAGAAUAAUAAUGUAGGGUAUGUAAACAUUAUAUUAGGUAGCAUUGUUUAAAGUGGCUAGUGAUAUAUUUUACAUAAUUUCCCAUCAAUUCCCAUUAUUAAAGUGGCUGGAGUUGAGUCAGUGUGUUGGCAGCAGCCACUCAAUGUUAGUGGUGGCAGUUUAACAGUCUUAUGGCCUCGAGAUAGAAGCUGUUUUUCAGUCUCUCGGUCCCAGCUUUGUUGCACCUGUACUGACCUCGCCUUCUGGAUGAUAGCGGGGUGAACAGGCAGUGGCUCGGGUGGUUGUUGUCUUUGAUGAUCUUUAUGGCCUUCCUGUAACAUCGGGUGGUGUAGGUGUCCUGGAGGGCAGGUAGUUUGCCCCCGGUGAUGCGUUGUGCAGACCUCACUACCCUCUGGAGAGCCUUACGGUUGUGGGCGGAGCAGUUGCCGUACCAGGCGGUGAUACAGCCCGCCAGGAUGCUCUCGAUUGUGCAUCUGUAGAAGUUUGUGAGUGCUUUUGGUGACAAGCCGAAUUUCUUCAGCCUCCAGUUUGUCUGUGAUGUGUAUGCCGAGGAACUUAAAACUUACUACCCUCCCCACUACUGUUCCAUCGAUGUGGAUAGGGGGGUGUUCCCUCUGCUGUUUCCUGAAGUCCACAGUCUCGGGGGCACAUUCGUGGCUUGGUGUAAUUUUCCACCAUGCUGGGGAGUUCUAUUUCCUUGCCAGCGGGCUACAAUGUGUAAAUACCCACCGCAACACGCAGGAAGACUAGGGUUGAGUUAUUGUAGGUUUUGGGGAAGCUCUGUAUCUCAUCUGUCUUCUGUGGUGCUCAGGGUGAUUGUCAUUUCUCUGGUUGUGGUCUGAUGUGCUCAGCAGAGGGGUUGAGUGAGAUUAUUUACUUAUGACUAUGGAGUCUUAUGUAGACUGUUCAUUCGCUUUCCAUCAGAGGACCUGUUAGAAUUAUGUACUAAAGAACAGCUGUUGAAGAUCGCUGAACACUACAAGGUUGAAUGAUUGAAAUUAGUGAAAUUCUGUUAUGUUGGGAAGUGACUAUGAAUUGUUGGGAAGUGACUAUGAAUUGUUGGGAAGUGACUAUGAAUUGUUGGGAAGUGACUAUGAAUCGUUGGGAAGUGACUAUGAAUCGUUGGGAAGUGACUAUGAAUCGUUGGGAAGUGACUAUGAAUCGUUGGGAAGUGAAGUGUUGUCAUGUUCUAUCUUUCCUGUCUGUUCCCUCCUGGUCUUGUGUUCUUCUUUCCUCUUAAACGUUGCUUCCUGUGCGCAAAGGUUGCUGAGGUCUGGGGAGGAGGUGGUUGGCUGGGGAAAGUGGAAGUGUGAAAACGUAACCCCUCAUCAAUUUGGGAUGCAGAGGCUGUGUCAAUUUGGGGACGCAGGGGCUGUGUCAAUUUGGGGACACAGAGGUCGGUAUGUUCCGGGGUCCUUGUUGGUCCCCGGUUUUAUGGGGGGGGGGGGGGGUGUGACGACCCUCCCACUCUGUCUGCCGUAUUCUCUCUUUGUUCUUUUUUCCAUAUUAGGAUGGUCGGUGGUCGGAGUUGGGAGGGUCGUCAGCUACAUGGGAAACACCUGGGCCCCGUGUGUCCCAGGAUAAAUACACCACUUCCCCAUUCAUGGAGGAGACUCUCUCCAUGCAGACACCUUUAUAGAUUUUGUUGUGUAUCUUGGUGGUUUUGGGGUGUUUGCGUUGGCACCUUUCAACACCCUGCAUUAUCACAUUCAUACAUGCAAAACACUCACUUACACUACUGAUUACAAACACCAUUGUAUAUUGUACUUAGUUUACUUGAUUUAAUAAAUAUAUGUUUUGUUACUCCUUA